GACAAUUGAGCUGAAGACUCAACGUGUGUUUGCAGAGGAUCUAUUUCGGUAAAAUCAAGAAUACCAGCUGAUGACUGCUGUGCAGUGGAAAUAUCGAUCAUCUUGAUAAAACCUCAGUAUAUCAUCAGGAGCAACAGGCCACAUUUUCAGCUAAAAAUCUUCUUUGCUGUUCUGCUGAAGAAAAAUACUCAUGAACAUCUUGGGUGGCGUAAGGAUCUUUGCAGGAUUCAGUCGCAUAUCUCGGAUCUGAGUUCUGCGCAGCACUGGACACAGACUCUGCACUUUUGACAUUUUCUAGAAAAAAGGAUUUUAAAUUUCACAUCAAGUUAAUUAAAAGCCUGUCUCUAUUUUUUCAUAGUCAUCUGAUGUUUCC